rnacentral:rRNA from 1 species
UACGAAGGGGGGCUAGCGUUGCUCGGAAUCACUGGGCGUAAAGCGCACGUAGGCGGCUUCUUAAGUCAGGGGGUGAAAUCCUGGAGCUCAACUCCAGAACUGCCUUUGAUACUGAGGAGCUCGAGUCCGGAAGAGGUGAGUGGAACUGCGAGUGUAGAGGUGAAAUGCGUAGAUAUCAGGAGGAACACCGGUGGCGAAGGCGGUUCUCUGGGCAUUACCUGACGCUGAGGAGCGAAAGCGUGGGGAGCAAACAGG